AUGUUGGGUGUCUUGGCCUCUAGCGCCGCUCCUGCUCCGCCGCGCCACAACCUUUGUUGCAGUGCCACAACGUACGUGAUGCGGCCGUGGCCGCGAAUGCUGGUCCUUCGAGUACUUGUUGUCCCAUCCAGGACUGGCGUGCGUGAGCGGCGCUACCGCAACCAUCGGCAGCCUCUGCACAUCAAGCUCGAGAGCGGCACGCCGCUGCCGUCGGCAGCUGAUACCCCCUCCAUGUCCACCACACAUCGAACCCUGGAGCGGCGCCACCAGGACCAUUGGCAGCAGAUGCCUCCCUCCAGGGCCGCCGCACAUCGAGCCCAAGAGUGGCAUGACGUGACCAUCGGCAGCCGAUACCCCUCUCUAUGGCCGCCAAACAUCGAGCACUGCUCGUCAAGAUACACAUGA
rnacentral:rRNA from 1 species